UAUGGAACUUUGCCUUUGAGAUUCACGGUUUGUUUUUGUAUUGUUUAUUGUUUUGUCGGCGUCAUUUUGAUUAAUUAAAAGAUAAUGUACGCUCUACGCUGCACCUUGGUCCUCUCCUUCAAACAGACGUGACAGAACUUCCCACCAAAACGGAACCAAGCAGCGUGGUAAGGAGGAAUGGACAUGGGAGGACAUCCUGGACGGCAAGGGAUCCUACACGUGGAAGGAGAUCCUGGCCGGAAAGGAUCGCCUGCCCUGGGAGCAGGAUCAGAAGGAGCGAGCUGCAAAGUGACAGUCACCUGCUCCUGCCACUAGCCUUGCCCCUGUCCAAUGGAUAGAGAGGGACAGCAGAGCCAACAAAAUUCACAAAAGACCUGGACAUAAAAGCUACAAGAAGACCUCAAGACAUGUCACAGUGAAGGACAUGGACCUUACCGGAACAGGUGACCAUAUUGCAGCUAAUGGCGUGGGUGAGUACCACCUUAAAUAGACCUUGACCCUGGGGCAUCUGACCCUAAAACAGGGCCCCCCCCCCCAGAAGUUAUUUGUUUUUGUUUUAACCCUAAAUAACCACCCCUGCAUUAAUUAGUCAAAGGCUUGAUGAUUAAUUGACUAAUUGAACCAUGUGUGUCAGUUAAGGGCUAAAACAAAAAUGUGAAACGUCCGGAGGGGCCGAGGAGAGAUCUCCCUUCUGGGAUUUCUUAAUAGACAAGGCUAGGAUCGUUACACUACUCCCUCUGUUCAGAAAACACAACCUGUGCUUCUCUAUCACAAAUCCCUCACGCCUGAACAGGACGUGCUUUUGACCCUCAUACAGUAUCCUUCUUCUGCACAUCAGAGUAGCAAAUGGUAGGAGAAGGCAUCGUUCAACUUGUCAGACAGCAUGACUACCUUUGUAAGGACAUGUCCAACUAGUACUAAAUGCAGUUUUUAGCUGUCUCACUGGCUUUCAUUUUAAUGUUGGGUUAAAUACAAAGUGGUGCCUUAAAACAUUCAAAUCCUCAGACCGAUUGAAUGUAAGCCUCUGUCUUGCAGGCAUGAACUCUUAAGUAUGUAUUGACAAUAGAUUCAAAGUGCUAUAUUACUCCCAAAUUAAGAAGAACCACUGCGAAUGUACAUUAAAACCGCAUAGUUAUGUACAUGUCAUUUAAUGACAUAUAUAUAUAAUAUAAUGGUGUACAGUAUAUCAUAAUUUUAUCUGUCAGAGAGGCUUCUCAUCUCUUCACCCAAUUGCCUGCCCAGGCAUCUUCUCUGUGCCACAUGUGACAUAGCCACCCAUAGCACCAAGGUUUUGCACAACAGGGAGUCUCUGUUUGAAGGGUUUUAUCGCCCCUUGUCCCCAACCUCCGUAAUUCAUCAGGAUGAUGAGGGGUCCCUUACCUUCCAGGAGAAAGGUGUGUGUUUAUUGUUUAGGUGUUUCAAAUAAAUCUGAUAGCCCCCCCUGACAGUGACGAGUGGCAAGCAAAGUCAUCCUGAUUGGAAUAAAUGGGCGCUACAACCUGUCCCUUCCUGCUCUGAAUUGCUCCCGGUGUCUAAGACAUUGGACAGUGGGCUGGACGAACCUGUAAAGAGUGGCUACUGGCCAGCCACCGUGACUCACCAGACCAUCUUCACAGUGGACCUCUUCAAGUCCUUUGAAGACAUGAAUUAGUUGGCCCCAGGAUGCUCCCGUCAAGCCUUUGUGGGAAUGAUUGACGGAAGAACAAAGCACUUUGGCAGGAGUGGAAAGAUAUGUGGCGAUACAUUCCAGAAGGCAUUCCUCGAUAGGACGUAAGGGUAGUUUGAAAUAGACAAGCUUUGUGGAUAUGCUCUCCUCCAUAGUCCCACCUGCUCACAGGAGAUGCAUGCAAUAUCAGUGGAUGGGAAUCGCAAGCAAUGCAGCUUCCGGAAAGCCUCAGGUUUCUAUAACAUGAGGCAUCUCCAGCAGAAGAUUGAGGGUUUUUACCUCAGUGUGAAACAGAAGAACACUACCUCUACCGUUUGACAGUCAUCAGAUUCUGAGACAAAUUGUUGAGGACAAAGCACCCUUGACAGCUGCCGUUGUUCAACUUCACGAGCAGCAGGCAGAGUUUAGGCUCCCCACGGCGGAUGAGCUGCUCAACACUGUCAACUUUGUGUGGCCAUGGGAGAGACUUGGUGCCAUUGAGUUUAUGAUUGCAGAAGGCAACAGCCAUCUUGCCAUCAGAAAGACAGCAGGCAGGAGGAAGAGAGGAUCCGGGUGAAGGAGAUGAAGAGGCACUGGGAGAGCCUUCAAAGAACAGCAGGGUUUAGUUGAGGCAAUGCAGUGGAGUUGUCAGAGGGAGGAAGGAAUGGCCUUCUCUGCCACCUGAAGAGAAGAUUGAACUGAACUGAACUGACACAUGACCAAGACAACACCAGGAAUAACUAUCACAAGCUGAUUCUGGGAGAAGGGUAUAUUUUUGAGGACUCUGAUGUAGAUGUGAACUCAGAUGAAGAUGGGUCCUAUUGCUGAGAGCUCAGAUGACGACUGCUAAUGCUUUCUGAAAUCAUACAUCACCCCUGCCUCUUUCUCUCGGUCUCGCUCGCUCCCGCAGGAGAGGGAAAAGGCCGCCACCACCUCCCUUGGGAGCAACCUGGUCUCCUGAUGUUGACCCCUGACCCCUCACCUUCUGAACCCAUCCAGGGAAAUGUAAUUUGCCUGAUGACACGUUAGUGGAGAAGGAACGUCAUUUUAGCGCAUUUGUUUUCAUGUUUCCUCUCCUCACCUCCUCUCCUAUAUUUCUUCCAGUCCUAGACCAUCAUCAGCAACUGUUGGUUGAGGACCUGUUCUUCAUUUUUUUGUAUUUUGUAUUAGUAUUUUCUAUGCUGUCGUAAUUGAGAUUUUUGUGUAAUUGUGAGUUACAAAAGAGUCUUUGGUCGCAAUGGGACUGCUAAAAUAAAUAGACAAAGGUCUUAAUAAAUAAAUGCAUUAAGCACUAACAGCUCUGAGUGUGUGUUUCAAUCGAUUACAUAGUAUGAAUUAAUUAUUUUGAUGUAAUAAAAAGUGUUGGUGCAGCAUGCUGCAAGCCAUAGCUGCCCCUUUCAACAUUAUAUGUACCACAUCUUUCUAAUCUGAUAUUGAGUGGAAUGUACUGUUGC